rnacentral:lncRNA from 1 species
UGCUAACACUGUUGCAUAUUUAAGGUAUUUUCAUUUUGUGAAAUCCCAGCACUGGAGGUUAGGAUGAGCUCUCCCUGGAUACCCAAGUAAAGAAAAAAGUCAGAGAACAGAGGGAGUGAGAGAACGUGGGACCCAUGUCCAGUAAUGGCUCAGUCACUGGGCUCAGGGAAGGCCCAAUAUCUCUUUCUAUCGGUGGCUUGAGAAUUGGCUUGCCACCAAGACAGAGAACAGGAACUAAGCUGACAGAUUGGAACCUGAACUGGGAAGAGUAACCGUCCUGUUCUGGGGAUGGACAGAACAGUGAAGGGUUUCCUAGCAAUGAGGACUCCAGAAUCUCUACAUAAGAGAGGUCUAAAGUCAUUGUCUUCAAGCUACACUUUCAUAGCAAAUAUACUGUUUUAAUUAAGAUUAGAUUUAAGGUUAGAUUUUAUUUGGAAAGAUGGGGGUGUAUGGCCAAGGGAUAUUUAUGGCUGGACCCUUUUCAAGAGGCUCACUGACAUUGAUGGAUAUUAAUAAAGUUGAUGCUAUAAAGUUUCACCAGGAAUGGCAGAAGGAUGAACCUGUCAAGUAAGCACAGGCCGUUCCAAAGCCUAGUCUAGGAAUCAUUGCGCCAGACUGGGAAAAGUCCUUCUCAUCUACAUGGUACAGGAACUGCAGAGAUUUCUAUGGAAAAAUAAUGAACACAUUUAAGAAAAGUUGAAAUCAGAGUUUUCUUCUAAGAGAAAAUGAAAACAGUAAUAACACCCAGAGAGAUGGCCUGAAACUUGGUUGUUUCAAAGAAAGCUGUUGGCCCAUCUCCCCACUUCACCUGACUCCCAUUCCCACACAGGCAACCCAACACAUUCAAGGUCAUGUCGGAACAGCUAACCUGACAGGGUGGGAUGCGGCCUACUGCUCUGAAGACUCGAAAUGCUGACGGCACCCUAUUAGCUUUCUGUUCACUUCAGUCAACUUCCUUCUCAUGGUCUAUCCUCUUCCAUAUCGUGAUGCCUUCCUUCCAUGUAUCAUCCAUCUUACAUCAUUGUGUAUAUCACACUAAGUGUCAAUAAAGUGUUC